AUUACACUACUGGGAAAUCCAACGCAUGAAAUGCUUUUGAAACUACUUGAGAACUUAGAAGCCAUUGAAUACUAAGAGGAUUGGCUUUUUAAUGAGUUGUAGAGAGAAUUAAAAACCAAAUGGACAUCUGAUUUUCGUCUUUCUUCCUAGAAACGAUAUAGACAAUUAUUCGAACUGUAACAUCAUAAGCCGAUUGAUUUUAAAAACUACCGAAACCGAAAGUAGCAUAGGUCGAAUUCCAAUUGCGUUGUGUGUUAUUGGAUGUUCUUACUAAAGCAGACAAAAUGGACGGAGGUGAAGAGGAAUCGGUAAAAUGGUCAGAAAGAGACGUUUUUGUACGGAAAGAAGAUGAAAAAUCUGGAUGUAUAGAUUUACAUUCCGUGGAAAAUAUUGGCUUAAAACGUGGAUGUUCAGUAUAUCGUAAAUCUUUACUAUUUUUAUGUUGGACAAUUUCACUUGUGUUAGUGGUUAUAUCAGGGACUUUACUCUUAUGCAUUGUGAAAACUAAUCACAGGAACCAAUAUGAAAAACCAAUGCAUUCAAAACUUUCGUCAGAACAAAGGACGGGAGAUAACUCUGUGUGUGUUCCAUGCCAGGGGAAGGAACUUUUUGGAACUGCAAGCUAUUCUUUUCUUUCUAAUAAAUUGUGCUGUACGAAUAGUCAGUCUCUGAAUACAUUGAUGAAACUGGUAAGUAAAAUGAAUGAAUGAAUGAAAAAUGAAUGACAUUUUCAACCAAAGAAAUGUAAAAUGGGAUCUUAAAGUGUUACGCUUUUCCUUGUAUUGAGGAAGAUUUUUCUAUAUGUUCAAAGUAAUUUUUACAACAAAUAUGAUAAAUAGAAGUUUUAAUUAUUCCCAUUAUUCUCUUUCUUAAAUUAGAAAAUACAUGCAAUACUAGUACAUGUAGUUACCGAAUAGUUUACAACUUGGAUUGAUGAUAGAUAACUUUAAACAUUAUAUUGUUACCUCAUGUACAUUUUCAUGUAAUCUACUAAAUUAUAUAAGGAAAAUAGUUAAACAUAUUUUUAUGAGUUUUUAAGGGGGUUUUUUUUCGAUAAGAAGUAUAAACACGCAUUCGCAAAUAUAGCGAAAACUAAAUUGUUGCCGCGAAAGCCUUUAGUUGAUGAGUUAUGAUAAUUAUUAAAGAUGUUAUUAUGAGUAUACGGAUUGAAAUGUGUGUGUUUAUAGCUUGUAGGACAAUCAAAAGAUAAAGGGAGAAAGGAAUGGAUUAAAGAAAGAACGAUUAUAAAUGGUAAGUUAUAUCAUUGAAAAAAUGAGUCCAUUUAUUACUUAAAAGCGAUCUUGAUGCCUUAAAAAAUCUUCUUAACAUUGAUAACUCUAAAACUGUCAAUUUAUUUUGCUAAUAUGUUUCAAAUAUUACAAAAUUGAUAAUGUGAACAGUCUCCUUUAAUCCUCCAAGAGAAUUUCAUAAACUAUGUAAAGAUUUAGUUAAGUGACCUGUUAAGAUUUUAAAUUUCAGCUGGUUCACAGAUCAACAACUUCACAGUACCUUCAUCCGGGCUCUACAGCGUGUAUUUUCACUUGAUAAUCCGGGUUCCUACGAACUACAACAGCUCCAAAUGUUCCGUAAAAAUUUCCGUACUGGACAAAUCCAGCUCCCGCGUCCUGUCCCAGGGGGUCCUUCUAGAGAAACCUCUGCCGACGGGAGGGUACGAGAGCGUAGUGCUGUUUGAAACUGUGCGACUGUUGAGAGGAAGUUAUGACGUUCAUAUUGACGUUUCUGAUGACGAACUUUUAUAUAGAUAUCCCGGUAGCACCGGUAUCACUGUGUACAAAAUCUAACUGAAUGUUGUUAAUGUAUGGGUAUUGUAAUAACAGAAAAUAAGUUAGUAAUCAAUGAAAAUCACGUGGUUAUUGUUUGUUUAACAAAGCAUUUUAUUUUACGAUAAAAAACAUUUAUAUUGUACAUGUAUUUGAUUGGUUUUAACUUUUCAAAGCACACAGAUGUGAUGAUUAAUAACGCCUUUUUUUUAUGUAUUUCGUCCAUCUACAUGUUUAUAAAUUAUAUAUAAUAUGUGUAACAUUCUAAUAAAAUUGUUCUAUGAAUUGU
rnacentral:misc_RNA from 1 species